GUGCACGAUCUCAAUGAUCGAACGAUAGGGGGAUUGGCUGCGACACCAUGAUUGUCAGACAGAAGGCUGUCAAGCUCUCAAGCACCGUGGAAGAUUUCAUUUUGCUCCAGGGUGAAUAGAAUACCAUGCACCAAGGGGAUGGAAAGCAAAGUGCACUAAGGGGAUUAAUGGCAAGAGACAACCACGGAGGGGUUAUUAACCUCAGAUUUAAUGGGUCAAAGACUGCCAAAGGUAGAGAGAGAG
rnacentral:lncRNA from 1 species